CUAUCCUGUCCUAUCCUGUCCUAUCCUGUCCUAUCCCCUAUCCUGUCCUAUCCUGUCCUAUCCUGUCCUAAAUAGCAUUAAUAUUACACGGUGUAUAAAGUUGCAAUGCUAGCCUCCAGUAACAAUUACUCCUGUUCUCCUGCAUGGAUGCAAUUAUCUAAAAGGACUGUGCACAGAAUAAAAAUGUAGAAAAAUAAAAGAAUUCAAAAUUGAGAUUUUUUUUCAAUAGGGUUCAGUUAACUUUUGUGACCUCGUAGCUCCUCUAUGGCUUCGAUUGCACCAGACAAGUAUAAUAAAAUGUGCGGAAUUCCAGGAAUGUUGGUGAUAAUAAUUCAUGCGAGCUGGUUGGUGCUGAGGAUCAACUCACUAACAGUUCAUACUCCACCCUGG